CCUACGGGAGGCUGCAGUGGGGGAUAUUGCACAAUGGGGGAAACCCUGAUGCAGCGACGCCGCGUGGGUGAAGAAGCGCCUCGGCGCGUAAAGCCCUGUCAGCAGGGAAGAAAAUGACGGUACCUGAAGAAGAAGCCCCGGCUAACUACGUGCCAGCAGCCGCGGUAAUACGUAGGGGGCAAGCGUUAUCCGGAUUUACUGGGUGUAAAGGGGGCGCAGACGGCGAUGCAAGCCAGGAGUGAAAGCCCGGGGCCCAACCCCGGGACUGCUCUUGGAACUGCGUGGCUAGAGUGCAGGAGGGGUAAUCGGAAUGCCUUGUGUAGCGGUGAAAUGCGUAGAUAUAAGGAAGAACACCAGUGGCGAAGGCGGAUUACUGGACGAUAACUGACGGUGAGGCGCGAAAGCGUGGGGAGCAAACAGGAUUAGAUACCCCGGUAGUC
rnacentral:rRNA from 1 species